AGUGACGAUAGCCUAGGAGAUACACCUGUACCCAUGCCGAACACAGAAGUUAAGCCCUAGAACGCCGGAAGUAGUUGGGGGUUG
rnacentral:rRNA from 2 species